UGAGGAACAUGACCUUCGGCGGGGGAUAGCCGGCCCAACGGCCGGGUAAUACCGCGUACGACCAUCCGGGGACGUCCCUGGGUGGUGGAAGCAGCAAUGCGCCGAUGGAGUGCCUCGCGGCCUAUCAGCUAGUUGGUGAGGUAACGGCUCACCAAGGCGACGACGGGUAGCUGGU
rnacentral:rRNA from 1 species